UACAGAGGUCCCGAGCGUUGUUCGGAUUCACUGGGCGUAAAGGGUGCGUAGGUGGUGGGGUAAGUCGGGUGUGAAAUCUCCGGGCUCAACCCGGAAAUGGCAUUGGAAACUACCUUGCUGGAGGAUUUGAGGGGGGAUUGGAAUACUUGGUGUAGCAGUGAAAUGCGUAGAUAUCAAGUGGAACACCAGUGGCGAAGGCGAAUCCCUGGAAAAUACCUGACACUGAGGCACGAAAGCUAGGGGAGCAAACAGG
rnacentral:rRNA from 1 species